UAUUUCUUACUCCGAAGUCAAAAGAGGACUACUUGUUGAUCAAGAAAACAUGAGUUUGUAGCUACAGGUCUGAGAACUCUUAACUCCAAGUAUUUUGGGUAUAUUUUCCCAAACUGGUAGCCCUACCCAGUCUCUGGAGUGGGUUUGUGGGGCUGAGAACUCCAAAAUACAAUGUCAGCCUUUAUUUGUAAAUUGGUUCCAUCAGAGACACAGAUGCGUGAAAUCAGAUUAGCGGUACUGUUAUUUUUUACUGGCAUAAUUAAUCCCAUGUUGUUGACAGGCUGAUGAUCACUACGGUAUUUCUUCAUAUGAAUAGGAAUUGCUCUCAUCUGAGUUUUCGGGGUUUGGGUUUUUUUAUUCUUUUCUCUUUUUUUUGGUGUUGGAGUGGCAGUUUGAAGACUAAACUGUGUCUCAACCUUAGCUUUACAUGAAAAUUGUAAAACUAUUUUAUUCAUGUACUGUUUUACAUGAAAUUUAGAAACUAUGACACCAAGAAACAGAUCUUAACCUCACUCUCAACAACUGUUACUCAAACAGACACCAUCAAGUUAAACAAAACCACUUCGCUCUGUGGCUUCCCAAAAUGGAGAUAACUGAUUUCUCUCUUUUUAUUUUUCCACACUUCCUGAAUCUCUAAACAAAGUAUAAGAACAGUAUAAACAAUCAAGGGGAAUAAAUAUUUAAGGUGCUGGAAAUUAGAACAAAUGGAGCUAUAGAAACUUGAAUUAUAGGAUAUUAAGACUGGAGUCAGGCUCUCAGAGGAUGGGAAAAGAUUCUCUAACUCUGCUCCUUGUGUUUGGAGCAACCUAUUUCAGGUGUCUACCUGGAACCGCAUGUGACCUGAAAGAAGAUGCUUCUAACGUUUACACAGUGGUAGAAAGUGAGCCUACGGACCAAAAUAAAUAGCAGCCCUCAAACAAGCUGUCAGGAUAGUUUUCAAGCUUUUCCUAAUGGCUCAGUCUCUAGAUAAGACCAGACUUAAUUUAUUAAGGAAAGUCCUGAUGUCUACAGUAUUCUUCUAAAUUAUACAAUAAUCGUAAAACAUUAAUAAACCUUCCUAGGUGGAAAAUGGACUAAGGGAGUAACUGUGAACCAACUGGCUCAAAUGAUUAUUCUAAUCAUCUAAGGAAACCAGUUUAAUAAAAGCAGUCAUAAUCUCUCUCACCUUGGGUUACCAAUAUUGGUCCUAAUCUUUAUUAUUAUGGGAUCAUCCAUCCUUUAGAAAUCAUCACAAGCCUAAAGUCCAUCCUCUAAACUACCCAUCAGUCCAGUACGUCUCCGCCAGAGGAUCCUGAAGGGGACCGGGUACAGGGGAUGACCAGAGAAGGGUGCAUGGGAACAGGCUGGGCACGAGGAACCACAUUUCUCAAGUAUAAAAGGUGGCAGAGAUCCUCCAAAGUCACUUCUUUGGAUCUGUCACAGACUACAGAGACCUCAGCUGUGUUAACCCUUGACCCAAGUUCCUUUCAUGACCCUCUGGUAUGUUAUCUUAGACUAAAUUCUAAAUCCAGCCUAGCUUCCCAGUGAUCACCCCAACGGCAUUCACUGUGUGCUUGAUUAAUGAGCACCACCAGCGCUCAGUGCCUCCGCCUGGGCCUUUGGGACUGAUGACCCGGAUGAGCCCUAAGACACUGAUGAUAAAUGCUGAUGAGUGCUAGAUACUGAGCAGAGUGAAGUAGAAAAUCUCAAAGCCCCAUGUAAGAGCUACUGAUGAGACUGAACACUUUGUUACAGUUAAAGGGACGUUCUAUAUCUGAUUUCCCUCCUAGGCCCUGUAUCCUGCAUUAUUUCGUUAAACAAAUCUUGCCUUUAAAGCUCAUUGCACAUAUUCUGUACACAUUCUCGUGGCUUGGUACAACGGCUGUUAGUGUUACGGCCGAUUGUGUCCCAGUUGUGUCAGGGUCAAACCACAGUCAAAACCAGUGCCACUGAUAAAGGAUAGAUAAGAACCCCAAGUUUUUCCCUACUUUGAAACAAUCAGGCAGACAAGUCACAAAUAGCACAAAGGAGCAGUGAAUGGAAAAGAUUUCAACUUUCGGUGGUAAUUGUGCACUUCCUUUUCGCUUGUAUGAUGUAUUAGCCAGAGAAUGGUCUCUAAAGAGAAACGGAAGAGGAAAGCACAGAACCUUAUCAAAAAAUACAGCCAGCUAAAUCCCUUCCCUCCAGUUACACUUUUUCAAAGCCUAAUAUAAUUAUUCACCGAUUUCUAUUCUGAAGUUGGUAAUGACGAGAGUAAUAAAUCUAUCUCCCUUCCUUUGUGCUACGAAUUCAGUGAACUAAAGAAUGAAGCUCCAUAAAAGGCGGCCUAAAAAACACCGUUUAUAGAAAUAACCCUGAAAAAGAAUUCAGGAUCUGAGCUUCCAGACUCUAUUAACAAUAAGGCAAGAAACAAGGCCCCAGGAUGCUGAGGAGAAAGAGAGUAUUUUCCACUGUCCUGAAGUGACCUUUCCCCUCCCCCUCAGUCUCUGGCAGUGGCUCCCAAUGACACUUUACAGGUCACAAAGGAGCUGCAUGCAGCUGUCCUCACUUCUCAAGGGAGUCACUUCUACAGGGCCAUCAGGGAGACAAUACCAUGAGAACAAGAAGGGGGGAAGGGUUGCAAGGUACACUCCUUACCCUUGCUGUUCCCUCCUAGGGAAAGACUUUAGAUAAGUAAAAUAUCUGAAAGCACUUCAUACUAGCUUUGAACUCACUUGGGAUCAUCUAAGAAGCUUCCCAGCGAGUGGUUCGAGUGGUUCGCUGUGCCGAGCCCUGCUUCCCACCGAGGAUGAAUUCUAGCCUCGGCUGCAAUUCCCACUGGACAAAGCUGCUGGGACCUGUAUUAGCAAACUCUCUACAAAAUAAGCUCGUCGAUGGUAUAACCACACAACAGAGUGAGUUUGCCUGAAAUGAACUACUGUUCCUUCCUGACUUCUAGCUUCUGUGUACUUCCGGAGUCAACAAGUUCUGUGUCCCGGUUCCAACAUCUGCCUUGGUUUUCCUAGUCCUGAUUAAUCACACCGCUCCAACAAUCUAGAAAUGCCCGGGCCAGUAAUCACCAGCAGAAUGUCUUGGAAGAGCUGCAGAACAGAUGUACUCAGAAUGCCCGCUCUCCCCCUCAGGAACCGACCGGAGCACCCUCAGGUGUGAAUGACAAUGAUACAAGCCUUGAAAGCAGCUGUGAGUUAUACAGGAAUAUGAAGUGCCAGAUACAUAACAAACACAUCAUAAAUGAUGAUUUCUAUAUUAUCCUUGGGCUUUUUCUUUUUUUGGAGACUUCAGAAAAAUUAAAAAAUUACACAAAAUCUCCAAAUCCCCAACUCUUCUUGUAGUGAAAGCCAAUGGGAAAAAAAAAAAACUGUAGGGAGCUCUUACAAACAUAUGUGAAGAGACAGAUAAAUAUUAGAUGGAUUUCUGUGUGGGCAAGAAUACAUUAUUUUAGGAGGAAACAAUCCAAAUUAUAUUUUAAAUAUAAUAGGUUUUUACAGUAAAGGAACCCAAGAAUUAAUAUAAAUGAUUCUCUGAGGACAUGAGCCUAAAUUAUCACUGGGCCCUAAAAUCUGGCAGAGACUACUCUUUGCCCCUCAAUAUUGAUUCUCCACUUGUUAUUUUACUAUAAAACUCCCUUCGUUUCAGCUGUGCAUAUGGCUGCCCAACUACACAGCACAUUUCCAGGCUCCCCUGCAGCUGAUUCAGGGAUGUUAGGAACUUCUGGCCAAGGGAUGAGUGACAGUGACCUGUGGAACUUGUCUCCCACCUUCCUUCCCCCUGGGGCUGCAAUGUGAAAGGGGUCCCUGGAAGCAUCAACCAUCCCUACAAGAACACCCUAGUGUCGUGGUUCCGAAACCUCCUCCGCACAUUGGAACCACCUGGAGAAGCUAUAUAAAAUACUGAUGGCUGGCUCUCUCUCCUACAGACUGAUUUAAUUGCGGCUAGGGGAUGGUGGAGCAAUAAGACAGAAGGAGCGGGAGUCUCUGAAUGACCUGAUGGAGCUAAGCCACGUACUCCCCUGGAACAUUGCUGGGCGAUGGUAUCAAAAAAUUAAAUAACCAGAGCUCCAAGAGAGGAUGCCGAAAAGGCCAUGUUGAUUACAUAUGGCUUUCAUAUUCACAAAUAAUCCUUCUGUGUUGUUUAAACUACUGUUGUUUGGCUUUAGAGAAAGCAGCUGAACAAAUAUCCUUAUAAAUAAACACAAUAAACACAAAAAUUCUGGUCCUCAAGUGUAGGUAAAAGAAAAAAAAUACUCUCCUUUUUCUAAAGAAAAAACUACAGUACACCAAUAGCAAAAAAAGAGAGCGUAGUUUUAAUACAAGCCAGGAAAAUCGUUGGUGAGGUAGAGAAGAUUCAUUAAAGAAAAACUAAAAAUAAAUUUAAAAUAUUAAGAUUAUUCAGUUUGACAAUACAGAGGCAGAAAAAUAUAUUAAAGUUUGCUAAUUCAUUAAUAAUUGGCAUAAAUCAAUGAGAACUUGAAAUAAAAUAGGAAAUCUCAAAAAAAGAUGAUUUUAGGACAAAGUUAAAUAAAUGCUGUCUCAUCUUAUAGGCCCAUUUUUGAUAGGACACAGAUUAGACUGCUUUUAUUUUGUUACUCUGUCAUCCUCAACAUGUGACUUCAAUUUCAUGGUCCAAAAUGGCUGCCCCAUCACCUGCCAUCACAUUCUCACACCAGCCAGGAAGAAGGGGGAGCGUACAUACUUCUUCAUUAUAAGGGCACACCUCAGAAGUUACCCAUGCCACUUCAGUUCACAUCCCACUGCCCAGAACCUAUUCAUAUGCCCACAUUUAACUGCAAGGGAGGCUGGGAAACGUAGUCUUAAGCUGGACAAGCAUGCAUUGAGCUAAAACUUUUACCACUAUAAAGAAAAGAAUCUUGGAUAUUGGGGGCAAUUAGAAGUCUCUGCCAGAGGGCUCAUUAUUAAGAGGUACAAAAAAAUUAGGAUGAAGGUGUGUCUGGAAAUAUUCAAAAACAAUUCGUAACAUAAAAUACGUAAAUACAAAAAUAUUUCUGUAUAAAAUCUAAAUUAAAAUUUCUAUAUAACAAUAUAUUAAAGUUAUAUAAAGUCAAACACAACAUAGAUAUACAGUGUAGAAAAUGAAAGCCCACUUUAUUCCCAUAAUUUCACCUCUGCGAAAAUAAUGAAUUAUUAAAAAAUAUCUUGGAAUAUGUGGGUUUGGGACUAACAUUUAGGUGAAAUAAUGUCUUUCCAUAGCUCUUCCCCUAGUGCUACUGACAGAAAUAAAACUUUGGAAUGGGAGAUGUCAUUUCUGUAAUCCUCAGAUUCCUUUCUUUGGGGUAAUAGUCUCAAAUAAGAAAAAACCGGAAUCCAAGGAAGCAGGAAAUCAAGGCCACCUUGCGACAUUACAAGACAUCAAAGGAAAACAACAUUUCUUGCACAAUCACUGAAAAUGUGUCACCAUCUAUAAAGCCUCUCCUACUGGCAAGAAGACAACUUAAAUAGACAAUUAAAAUAACAAGAGUGGCAAAGCAAAGUCAAACAUAGACAGCAACUCUUAUUUGACUCUCAGAGAAACAGUUUUAAAAUGAAUAAAAAUGUUUACCCAUUCAUACUCUAUUUUGCCGUAUUGUUGCUAUAAACCCAGAGAAUAUUUUUAUAUCAGUAUUCUAAA